GGGAAACGACCCAUCUUGGUGCAGGCGAGCCAAGAAUGCGUUUUAACAACGUAUCCUUUCCACAUACUAUUUGCAUUGCACAGCGAUAGUAUGGAUGGGACAUUGGUAUUUACAGUACUAAUGCAAAUACUGUAUUUUUCUAUAUAGUGCGCAAUAUGUAGGAAUUUGCAGUUAGAUUAGACAGUAUGGGAAGUACACAUGCUGUUUAAUCCCACAAUAAAAACCCUGAGUACUUACAGGUACACUGAGGUGCAAAUCAGUGUUUUAGCCGCUUCUUUGGAGCUGUUGGG
ncrna:unclassified sequences RAGATH-15 RNA